GACGUAGGGCGCGAGCGUUUGUCCGGAUUUAUUGGGCGUAAAGAGCUCGUAGGCGGCUUGUUGCGUCGACUGUGAAAACCCGCGGCUUAACUGCGGGCUUGCAGUUGAUACGGGCAGGCUAGAGUUCGGUAGGGGAGACUGGAAUUCCUGGUGUAGCGGUGAAAUGCGCAGAUAUCAGGAGGAACACCGGUGGCGAAGGCGGGUUGCUGGGCUGACACUGACGCUGAGGCGCGAAAGCCAGGGGAGCGAACGGG
rnacentral:rRNA from 1 species